rnacentral:rRNA from 1 species
CCUACGAGUGGCUGCAGUGGGGGAUAUUGCACAAUGGGGGGAACCCUGAUGCAGCGACGCCGCGUGGGUGAAGGAGUAUUUCGGCAUGUAAAGCCCUAUCGGCAGGGAAGAAUUUAGACGGUACCUGACUAAGAAGCCCCGGCUAACUACGUGCCAGCAGCCGCGGUAAUAAGUAGGGGGCAAGCGUUAUCCGGAUUCACUGGGGGUAAAGGGAGCGUAGACGGCCAGGCAAGCCUGGAGUGAAGGCCCGGGGCCCAACCCCGGGACUGCUCUGGGAACUGUCCGGCUGGAGUGCGGGAGGGGCAGGCGGAAUUCCUGGUGUAGCGGUGAAAUGCGUAGAUAUCAGGAGGAACACCGGCGGCGAAGGCGGCCUGCUGGACCGCGACUGACGUUGAGGCCCGAAAGCGUGGGGAGCGAACAGGAUUAGAUACCCGAGUAGUC